UUACUUACCUGGCAGGGGAGACACCUUGAUCAUGAAGGAGGUUUUCCUAGGGUGAGGCUCAUCCAUUGCACUAGCCACCCAGAGUGGCUGGGGAAACCCAGUCAGACGGGCGCGGUAUAAAUUAUUGUUAUUUGUUAUUUUAAGGGCCCAAG